rnacentral:rRNA from 1 species
ACGCUGGCGGCACGCCUAACACAUGCAAGUCGAACGAAGUAGCAAUACUUAGUGGCAGACGGGUGAGUAACAUGUGGGUAUCUACCCUUUGGCCUGGAAUAACACGAGGAAACUUGUGCUAAUACUGGAUAAGUCUUUACGGAGAAAGCUUUAUGCACCAUUGGAUGAGCCCGCACUUGAUUAGUUUGUUGGUAGGGUAAUGGCCUACCAAGACUAUGAUCAAUAGCUGAUUUGAGAGGAUGAUCAGCCACAUUGGGACUGAGACACGGCCCAAACUCCUACGGGAGGCAGCAGUGGGGAAUCUUGCACAAUGGAGGAAACUCUGAUGCAGCGAUGCCGCGUGAGUGAAGAAGGCCCUUGGGUUGUAAAGCUCUUUCGUCGGGGAAGAAAAUGACUGUACCCGAAUAAGAAGGUCCGGCUAACUUCGUGCCAGCAGCCGCGGUAAUACGAAGGGACCUAGCGUAGUUCGGAAUUACUGGGCUUAAAGAGUUCGUAGGUGGUUGAAAAAGUUGGUGGUGAAAUCCCAGAGCUUAACUCUGGAACUGCCAUCAAAACUUUUCAGCUAGAGUUUGAUAGAGGAAAGCAGAAUUUCUAGUGUAGAGGUGAAAUUCGUAGAUAUUAGAAAGAAUACCAAUUGCGAAGGCAGCUUUCUGGAUCAAUACUGACACUGAGGAACGAAAGCAUGGGUAGCGAAGAGGAUUAGAUACCCUCGUAGUCCAUGCCGUAAACGAUGUGUGUUAGACGUUGGAAAUUUAUUUUCAGUGUCGCAGCGAAAGCGAUAAACACACCGCCUGGGGAGUACGACCGC